AUUUUUUGGUUGGAUGCAGUGAUGCAGAUGCUUAUACAUUGGACAAGGUUUGUGAACUAAACCUUAGUCGACUCUUCAUUAUUAACAGGCAAGAAGAUGAUGAACCAUUUUGAUUCUUCAUUACUGACUCAGCUGGGGAUGCUUUUGUAAAAUGCGCAUUGGAGUUGAGGGGGCCCCUCUCUUGCAUUGCCAGAGUUGAUGAUGCUUCAGGGCAUAGUUCUCCCCCAUAUUCCUACUUACAGAAUCAGUCCUUGUGAAGUCCCGACCAUUUUUUACUUGGGUUUUUUCAGAUAACGGCACAAAUUGGUUCGCUUCACAGCCUCACAGAUGGUCCCUUAAUGGGAGAUAAGCAGGAUUUUUUAGUUGUGCUUAUCUGAUCACCUAGCUUGUAUAGAUCACAUUGCAACCCAAAUUUUUUUAAGAUAAGGUUGAAAACAUGAUUUUACCAUUAUUUUAGCGGACCUUUUUCCCUUGC
rnacentral:misc_RNA from 1 species